GUACACGCUGUGACUAGCAUAUCAAUAAGCGGAGGAAAAGAAACUAACAAGGAUUCCCCUAGUAACGGCGAGUGAAGCGGGAAGAGCUCAAAUUUGAAAUCUUAAAGGGUUUCCCUUUACGAAUUGUAGUUUAAAGAAGUGUUUUCUGUUGAGGUUUUGGUAAAAGUUCUUUGGAAUAGGACAUCAUAGAGGGUGAGAAUCCCGUAUUUGACCUUUACUUUCAACUUUGUGAUACACUUUCAAAGAGUCGGAUUGUUUCGGGAAUGCAGUCCAAAAUGGGUGGUAAAUUUCAUCUAAAGCUAAAUAUUGGCGAGAGACCGAUAGCGAACAAGUACCGUGAGGGAAAGAUGAAAAGAACUUUGAAGAGAGAGUUAAACAGUACGUGAAAUUGUCAGAAGGGAAGCGUUUGACACCAGUGUUGUUUUUCUGAAAAUCAAUUAAAGAACUGUUUAUGCUAAGUUGUUUAGACUUUAUCAGCUAACUGUUUAGUUUUGAGCUUUUCUUUAAUGCACUUUUCAGUUAACAAGUCAACAUCAAUUUCUUUUGCUGUAAAAAAGCUUGAGGAAGGUGGCUUGAGAUUCGUCUUAAGUGUUUAUAGCCUCUUGCCUAUGCAGUCGGAGAGAUUGAGGUCUGCAGCGUAGAUCCUUCGGGGCUAAAUGCAUUUGUGCUAAGUUAUAGCAUUUUAUAGACAACUUGUUGACUAUGAUUUGUCUUGUAGCUUACUCGCUUAUGUUAUUUUACCUACGCUUAGGAUGUUGAGUCGUAGAGCACGCAG
rnacentral:rRNA from 1 species